AAGUCGUAACAAGGUUUCCGUAGGUGAACCUGCGGAAGGAUCAUUACCUUUCAAUGCAGAAGAGUUGAGAUGGUUGAGUAUCUCGCCUCUCAAUUCUCGCUGUAUUUUACCCUUGUUUUUCUCAUACUAUUAUUUCCUCGGCAGGCUCGCCUGCCGGGUGAAACAACUUCAAACCUGUUUAAUUUUCAAUCAGCGUCUGAACAAAUUAAUAAUUACAACUUUCAACAACAGAUCUCUUGGUUCUG
rnacentral:misc_RNA from 1 species